CCCCGCGGGGCUGGGGCAGGCGCCGCUCCAGGGCCGCUGGGCCGGUGCCCGGUGCGGCUGCGGGAGGGCUGCGGUCUGUACCGGCAGCCGCCGUGGCACCGAGCCCGCCGUAGGUGUGGGAGGCGGGGCGGCGUUCCCUGAGCGUACAUGGGGUAUGCACAUGGCUCGAGUGCCGUAACCAGAGCGUAGCUUUGGCACUACUGAGGAAAUAGAAGGGUGAAUUUGGGAAGUGAAGUUGACAAGAAUUUGACAGGAAGCUGACACUGUGCUGAUAAAGGAAAGCAAGGUGUGAAAAUGGACAAGGAUUUGGAAAAGGCCUCGAGGUGUUUCUGUACUGGAUACAGAACUGAGUUACUUCUGUCAGAUGUAUUCUCCUGGGUAUAUAUUUGCAGCACUCCUAUCUGACAGUCCAC